CAGUAGCCGCGGGAAAACGUAGGGUGCGAGCGUUAAUCGGAAUUACUGGGCGUAAAGCGUGCGCAGGCGGUUCGUUAAGACAGAUGUGAAAUCCCCGGGCUUAACCUGGGAACUGCAUUUGUGACUGGCGAGCUAGAGUAUGGCAGAGGGGGGUAGAAUUCCACGUGUAGCAGUGAAAUGCGUAGAGAUGUGGAGGAAUACCGAUGGCGAAGGCAGCCCCCUGGGCCAAUACUGACGCUCAUGCACGAAAGCGUGGGGAGCAAACAGGAUUAGAGACCCCUGUAGUCCCUGUCUCUUAUAC
rnacentral:rRNA from 1 species